rnacentral:misc_RNA from 1 species
UACGUAGGUGUCAAGCGCUAUCCGGAAUUACUGGGCGUAAAGGGCACGCAGGCGGCUGAGCAAGUCUGACGUGAAAGCUCCCGGCUUAACUGGGAGAGGUCGUUGGAAACUGCUGAGCUUGAGACAGUGAGAGGGGUGCGGAAUUCCCGGUGUAGUGGUGGAAUGCGUAGAGAUCGGGAAGAACACCAGUGGCGAAAGCGGCACCCUGGCACUGGUCUGACGCUGAGGUGCGAAAGCGUGGGUAGCGAACGGG